rnacentral:rRNA from 1 species
UACGUAGGGUGCGAGCGUUAAUCGGAAUUACUGGGCGUAAAGCGUGCGCAGGCGGUUCGCCAAGUCAGGUGUGAAAUCCCCGGGCUUAACUUGGGAAUUGCGCUCGAAACUACGUGGCUGGAGUGUGGCAGAGGAAGGUGGAAUUCCACGUGUAGCGGUGAAAUGCGUAGAGAUGUGGAGGAACACCGAUGGCGAAGGCAGCCUUCUGGGCCAACACUGACGCUCAUGCACGAAAGCGUGGGGAGCAAACAGG